GCUGAACGCUGGCGGCGUGUCUAAUACAUCCCAGCCGAGCGAACCGACGAGGAGUUUGCUCUUCUUACGUUAGCGGCUGACGGGUGAGUAACACGUGGAUAACCUACCUAUAAGACUGGGAUAACUCCGGGAAACUUGAGCUAAUACCGUAUAAUAUCUUGAACCGCAUGGUUCAACAGUGAAAGACGCUUUCGCUGUCACUCAUAGAUGGAUCCGCGGCGCAUUAGCUAGUUGGUAAAGUAAUGGCUUACCAAGGCAACGUUGCGUAGCCAACCUGAGAGGUUGAUCCACCACACUGGAACUGAGAAGCGGUCCAGACACCUACGGGAGGCGGCAGUAGGGAAGCUUCCGCAAUGGGCGAAAGCCUGACGGAGCAACGCCGCGUGAGGGAUGAAGGUCUUCGGAUCGUAAAACUCUGUUAUUAGGGAAAAACAAAUGUGUAAGUAACUAUACACGUCUUGACGGUACCUAAUCAGAAAGACACGGCUAACUACAUG
rnacentral:rRNA from 1 species